AACUGGCCGUGGUACCCAACGAGCCUGAGUGAUUCAGUGUUACUUCUCUGCUCGGUAUCCGUUUUGCCCUUUUGACUCGGAUCUGAUGCAUUAAUCAGAGCAGGAUAAACUGAAAGGAAAAAACUGCAUGAACAAAAAAAUGAAUCUCCUUUCUUUUUGCCCACUUUCAUUAAUUCUUAUUACUAUUUUUUGUUUGAUCAAUCCUGCCUUUUCCAGAGGCGGGGAAUACACCUUUGAUAUCCCAGGUAGGCGCUUGUUGGAUGAUUACCCCGAUAAGCCCAGCAUUGAUUUAACUCGGGGAUACAUGAGUAAUGCUGAUUUAGAAAAUGCUAUUAUGGCAUUUGGUGAAAGGUGCAGUAACAUUUCACGGGUAUACAGUAUUGGAAGGAGUGUCAAUGGAUUUCCUCUGUGGGUGAUAGAGAUAUCUGAUAAUCCAGGCAGGGAAGAGCCUGAACCUGCAUUUAAGUUCAUUGGAAAUGUUCAUGGAGAUGAACCUGUUGGGCGUGAGCUUCUGAUACGUCUUGCAAACUGGCUCUGUGAUAACCAUGUGACGGAUCCACUGGCAAAAUUAAUCGUCAAAAAUGUACAUCUUCAUUUAUUACCGUCCAUGAACCCUGACGGAUAUGCUCUUAGAAAGAGAGGAAAUGCCAAGAAUGUUGAUUUAAAUCGUGACUUUCCAGACCAGUUCUUCGCUAUGAAUGACUUGGAGGACAUAAGGCAACCUGAAACAAAAGCAAUAAUGCGUUGGUCCCAAAGGAUACAAUUCACAGCCUCUGCAAGUUUACACGGGGGUGCUCUUGUUGCUAAUUAUCCUUGGGAUGGCACUCAAAAUAAAAAGAGGGAGUACUAUGCGAGCCCUGAUGAUGAAGCAUUUCGGCUUUUGGCUAGUGUGUAUAGUCAUUCUCAUUAUAACAUGUCUAUGAGCAAAGACUUUCCUGGAGGAAUUACCAAUGGAGCAGCUUGGUAUCCCAUCUAUGGUGGCAUGCAAGAUUGGAACUACAUACAUGCUGGUUGUUUUGAGUUGACAUUAGAAAUAAGUGACAACAAAUGGCCCAAUGCUACCGAGCUAUCAACUAUUUGGGAGUAUAAUAGAAUGAGCAUGUUAAAUGUGGUGGCAACUACUGUGAAGACUGGAGUCCAUGGAAGGAUUUUCUCAUCAGAUACUGGAAGACCAUUGCCAGCCUCUAUCAAGAUUAAGGGAAUAAAUCAGACGGUGAAUGCUGGACGUCUCUUUGCUGAUUAUCAUCGUUUACUUUUACCAGGGGUAAAAUAUCAAGUUCCCGUUGACCAGGUGAUUAAUCAACAGGCUUGGAACCUGAGACUGAUCUUGAAAAGGUAUCUGCAAGGUCCCACAGAAACACCCUCCUAAAACGUAGUCCAGAGUUGAGUGUUGCAAGCUUCUGGCUGCUCGACAGGUUUGUGCCAAGUUUCGAGUGAAGGUUGCUGUUACCUUUACUUCGAUUGCGGUCACCUUGUUUGCCACUUUGGUUGUUUGAGGUGAGGAAGGGGCUGCAGUAGGAGAAGAGCUUGCAGAAUAGAUAGUGGCAGCAAUGAGAGCUGCAGACUCAGAGCUGCAGGUGCAUCAUGCUUUCUCACGCACGAGCAUGCUGCAACCUGUCAGAAAAGAGGGGAGUGGAGGUGCUGUUGCUGAUGUUGCUUCCCAUGCUAUGGUACAAAGGCGGUGAAUUAAUCGCAAUAUUAGGCGUGAGUUGAUCUGCAAACAUCUUGAGGCGUUGACAGUGAGCAUUCACGUUCAGGAACAUCUCAAGAGAAGCAUGGAGCUAAGCAUCACGAGCACUCAAUCUAGGCUGCAUAGCGGUGAGGACAAGAUCCUCCGAGAUGGAGCUACAAAUCUGAGAGAGGACUAUGGCAUCAAGUUGGUCCACUUCUCGGCAGAGGCAGUAGGACCAUGACAAGAAGAAGCAAUAUUUUAAAGUUACAGCCUCUACGCCAGGUUACAAGUCAAAGACCACAACUAUAUUCCUUGAGGAAGAAGCGACAACAGCGGACUUUAUUCUUGAACCAGAAACCACUAAUGUAGGUCAAAUACUAGACACUGGCUGUCAUUGCUCUG